UCAUUACUGUGAGUUCAGUCAUAAAAUCUCUGAUGUAUUCUCUAGUUAAGUCCAUUUAAUCUUGAAUGGUUCUCGUUAAAGAUGUCUGGUUUCUGUUAGGAUGAUAAGAUCUUGGUCAUUGCUGGCAAUGUUUAUUAAUCUUUUCUUUGAUGCUUCGAUGCUACCUUGUCUUGUUCCAAGGCUUCUGGUAUUCCAGGUUGUGAUUCUCAUAUGUUAUAUCACUGCUUGCUUCUGAUAACUUGGAUGUUCUUUUCAAUAAGUUGUGUUGUAUUUAUUAUGUGUGAGGAUUUUAGGGAAUAAUUGUUUGGAUUAAAGGUAUAUUUGUUGGAGGAUAUAAGGGUUAAUUUUUAUAGGAAGUAGAAGAAAGAAGGAAUAAAACAGAGGGGUUCAGGGAUAACCUGAGGAUUUUUUAUACUUCUUUCCGAAGUUGUAGUUAGGAAGAUAGGUUUAAAAAGUAAGCAUAUUGACUUCGCAGGUUCUCAAGUUCUUAAAUUUUGUGUUUCUUUAUUUUAGGUUUCACUAGUUUCAAGGAUUAAAAAAUUAAAAAUAUUGAUUAUGUACAGAAGAUAAAAUACAAAAGAGGAAUUCUUGGUUUUAUGUUGUUAAACACGGUCAUACGCAAAAUAAACUAUUAUAAUAGUAAAAAGAAAAAAAAAGAAAAAAAGCUAAAAAAAUUAAAAAUGAGACUAGUUAAUAUAAGACGGGACUUGUGUAAACGCUUUUUUUCUUUUUCUUUGUUUUUUUUUACCUUUUUAAUUUUCUUUCCAAUUGUAAAGGAAUAAAAAGUAAAUUAGAAUUUUAAUUAUACAACGUUUCAAUUCAUAAAAAAAGGGGAAAAACACACAAAAAAGGAAAAAAAGAACAUUAAAAUUUGGUGAAUAGAAUUAAGUUGUUUAUUCUUUUAUUUUAAGUGAGAGAAGAUUAUGGUCAGAUUUUUUGAUUAUUUAUCUCGAGUUCUUUCAAUUAAAUUCUCUUGUGAUAAAACUAGAAUUUGUUCUUGAUAUUUACUCAAUAUAGGUCUGUUGACUUUAAAAGUCACUAUAGUAAAAUAAAGAGAUCUAAACAUG